UUAGGAAUCUUGCGCAAUGGACGAAAGUCUGACGCAGCGACGCCGCGUGCGGGAUGAAGGCCCUCGGGUUGUAAACCGCUUUCAGCAGGGACGAAAUUGACGGUACCUGCAGAAGAAGCCCCGGCCAACUACGUGCCAGCAGCCGCGGUAAUACGUAGGGGACAAGCGUUGUCCGGAUUUAUUGGGCGUAAAGAGCUCGUAGGUGGUUCGGUAAGUCGGAUGUGAAAUCUCCAGGCUCAACCUGGAGGGGUCAUUCGAUACUGCCGUGACUAGAGGUCGGUAGGGGAGUGUGGAAUUCCUGGUGGAGCGGUGAAAUGCGCAGAUAUCAGGAGGAACACCCGUAGCGAAGGCGGCACUCUGGGCCGAUACUGACACUGAGGAGCGAAAGCGUGGGGAGCGAACAGGAUUAGAUACC
rnacentral:rRNA from 1 species